GAACACUGUGUUAGAGGAUACCAGAUGAACAGAAAGCUUACAUAUUAAAGAACCUUGCAAUUCGGACAGCUUAAGGACUGGUGAACCUUGUGUUUUGUUUUUAAUUCUUUUUUUUUUGGAAUGCAUGGAAAUAUAACAAGUGGGCUCGUCAUGCCCCAACAGAAUUGACAAGUAUAUGACAAAACAUUUGUUAACAGUUGGUCAGCAUGUGAGAAAACAGCACAAUUUUUAUAGAGCAACAUAUAUCGUUUAAGUGUUCCUGUCUAGACGAUCAGUACAUAUGUUGGCAGGGACAUUUCUAAACAUGCAGGAUGCAAGAUUGCGAUCUAAUAGAGAGUGAGUGCUUGCUACAGAGAAGCUAGGCUAGUCAGCAUGAGAUGCCUCUCUAUGUGUAGGACAGGACAGUGAUAUAUAAUAGAAUACAAGUAAAUUACACAGGCUUAAAUUGUGUAGCUAGUGUCUGCUAAGCGAAUAUCAAUGGGGCUCCCACACCCAUUAUUGCUAACAGUAAAACAUAUGAGUGCAAGUAGGUAAGUUAGUUAACGUCAGGGCUCAUGCUAAAAUGAAAAAACGCUUAAAAUAGUUAGAAAGUACAUUAAUAAAGCUCAGGGGAUCUUGGGUCUCAUCCUCGAGAACUCUGGCAUUAUUUAUUUGGGUCGUCCUCCGAUAUAGCAGGUGGUCGGUGUCUGGUAAGCAAGCUGUCCCCCACACAGGGGUUCUUUACCCUACUCCCCGUCUGGACACUGCUCUGAGGUGGCUAUUAAGUCCUCCGGAGAUAGACCUGUUGUGGCUCCUGUGUGAGGUACCCCACAACUCACCAGUGGCAGUUCGAGGACCUGUAGGGUGUUGCUUGUAUUCCCAUAGAGUUGUGGUCUCCCAUGGUGGUAAGUUGCGUCAUUCAGGGCGGUUGCUGGACAGUGCUGGGCAGAUUCUUCGGCGACGUGUUUGUGUACUUGGCCUCUGUUUCUUCAUUAGUGGCGAUGCUGCACCAGAGCGUCGCCCAGGAGUCGCGGGCUGCCCUUUUGUGAGCGGCAAGGUUGGUUCUGGCUGGGCUCCAGCAGACUUGUGCCGGCGUGCGGCUAAUGUGGACCAGAAGUUUGCAAAUAAGGCGUCAAGCUUCUCCUGCAGAGUCAGUCACUUAG